CUUGCUAGAUUGAUGGCGAGUGGCGAACGGGUGAGUAAUACAUCGGAACGUGCCCUGUAGUGGGGGAUAACUAGUCGAAAGAUUAGCUAAUACCGCAUACGACCUGAGGGUGAAAGUGGGGGACCGCAAGGCCUCAUGCUAUAGGAGCGGCCGAUGUCUGAUUAGCUAGUUGGUGAGGUAAAGGCUCACCAAGGCGACGAUCAGUAGCUGGUCUGAGAGGACGAUCAGCCACACUGGGACUGAGACACGGCCCAGACUCCUACGGGAGGCAGCAGUGGGGAAUUUUGGACAAUGGGCGAAAGCCUGAUCCAGCAAUGCCGCGUGUGUGAAGAAGGCCUUCGGGUUGUAAAGCACUUUUGUCCGGAAAGAAAUGGCUCUGGUUAAUACCUGGGGUCGAUGACGGUACCGGAAGAAUAAGGACCGGCUAACUACGUGCCAGCAGCCGCGGUAAUACGUAGGGUCCAAGCGUUAAUCGGAAUUACUGGGCGUAAAGCGUGCGCAGGCGGUUGUGCAAGACCGAUGUGAAAUCCCCGAGCUUAACUUGGGAAUUGCAUUGGUGACUGCACGGCUAGAGUGUGUCAGAGGGGGGUAGAAUUCCACGUGUAGCAGUGAAAUGCGUAGAGAUGUGGAGGAAUACCGAUGGCGAAGGCAGCCCCCUGGGAUAACACUGACGCUCAUGCACGA
rnacentral:rRNA from 1 species